GACGAACGCUGGCGGCGUGCUUAACACAUGCAAGUCGAACGAAGAGCGAUGGAAGCUUGCUUCUAUCAAUCUUAGUGGCGAACGGGUGAGUAACGCGUAAUCAACCUGCCCUUCAGAGGGGGACAACAGUUGGAAACGACUGCUAAUACCGCAUACGAUCUAAUCUCGGCAUCGAGGAUAGAUGAAAGGUGGCCUCUACAUGUAAGCUAUCACUGAAGGAGGGGAUUGCGUCUGAUUAGCUAGGUGGAGGGGUAACGGCCCACCAAGGCGAUGAUCAGUAGCCGGUCUGAGAGGAUGAACGGCCACAUUGGGACUGAGACACGGCCCAGACUCCUACGGGAGGCAGCAGUGGGGAAUCUUCCGCAAUGGACGAAAGUCUGACGGAGCAACGCCGCGUGAGCGAUGACGGCCUUCGGGUUGUAAAGCUCUGUUAAUCGGGACGAAAGGCCUUCUUGCGAAUAGUGAGAAGGAUUGACGGUACCGGAAUAGAAAGCCACGGCUAACUACGUG
rnacentral:rRNA from 1 species